UACGUAGGUGACCAGCGUUGUCCGGAUUUACUGGGCGUAAAGAGCGCGCAGGCGGUCGUUCAAGUCGAGUGUGAAAGCCCCCGGCUCAACUGGGGAGGGUCAUUCGAUACUGAUCGACUUGAAGGCAGGAGAGGGAAGCGGAAUUCCCGGUGUAGUGGUGAAAUGCGUAGAUAUUAGGAAGAACACCAGUGGCGAAGGCGGCUUACUGGUCCGGAACUGACGCUGAGGUGCGAAAGCGUGGGGAGCAAACAGG
rnacentral:rRNA from 1 species